rnacentral:misc_RNA from 1 species
GUCUGAUCGCUCCAUAAAUCCAGAGAAAUUUCUUUGUACCAAGGAGUGAAUUCAUAUGUAGACCGUUUCCGCUUUUUGGGCUUCAUGAUUGGAUUCUUCUGAUCAACACUCAUGGACAACACUUGAAGAGAAGAAAAAUGUUCAGUUCCAGCAGAGUUGGCGACUGAUCUUUGCCCAAAAUUACCAAUUUGACUUUUAUCAGCAGUUGCAUGGAUUACAUGCUGAAUAGAGUUAAAAGCAUACAAACCACUGGUAUACUUCGCAGGAGUGAAAGGUUGCUCUGCUGUCUUCAUGGCAGCAGCUCUGUGUACAUCAUACAUCUGUAACAUCUGCCCGUUUUUGAAGCUUCCACACUGAUCGAACCAUGAUGGUGCCAUAUGUGGACUAAUCUGAGUUUGCUCAGGCAUAAUAGAACUAGUAUUGCUGUUAUGAGAGCCAAUCUGAGAUUCAUCCUGUCUAAAUGCAA